rnacentral:rRNA from 1 species
GCCAGACUCCUACGGGAGGCAGCAGUGGGGGAUAUUGCACAAUGGGGGAAACCCUGAUGCAGCGACGCCGCGUGUGGGAAGACGGUCCUCUGGAUUGUAAACCACUGUCCCCAGGGACGAAGAUGACGGUACCUGGGGAGGAAGCUCCGGCUAACUCCGUGCCAGCAGCCGCGGUAAUACGGAGGAUGCGAGCGUUAUCCGGAUUUAUUGGGUUUAAAGGGUGCGCAGGCGGAGGCACAAGUCAGCGGUAAAAUGGCGGGGCUCAACCCCGCUCCGCCGUUGAAACUGUGUCCCUUGAGUGCGCGAAGGGUAGGCGGAAUGCGUGGUGUAGCGGUGAAAUGCAUAGAUAUCACGCAGAACUCCGAUCGCGAAGGCAGCCUACCGGCGCGCAACUGACGCUCAUGCACGAAAGCGUGGGUAUCGAACAGGAUUAGAUACCCUCGUAC